AGGUCCAUUUUCCUUCCAAUUUAAAAACCGGCAGCAUGUGUCCAGGAGGAUCUCAGCAAAGCAAAAUAUAGAAAGAACACAGAUUUUCUAGCAGUUACGUUUUGUAGGUUAGAAUGAUUUUAAAUAAAAGGUGAAGAUUAUGCAUACACGUAAUGCUUGUAGAAACAUGGUGGACAGGAACACUGUCACUAACAAAAACUUGGGGUCAAAAAUGGAAACUUCAUAGAAUGAUUAGAGUAGCUAGAAAGUGAUCAUACUGUACAUUGUUUCAGUCUCCAACAAAAGAGAAAGCUGUGGUCACCAGAUUCAAGAUUUAAAAUUGGACAAAACUCAGGAGGUUGGCUGCUGAGGAAACCGUCUCUGAACCACUAGGAUGAGGGAUCAUCUGGGAAUAGUCAUGCUGUCUGACAGUGGACACUCAGCUGAAGCACCCACCCUGGAAGACCUGCCCUUCCAAACUCCUUAUAUGUACUCAGUGGAGGAUGCAGACUCAUCUAGUGAUCACUAGUGAUUUGCCUGAGGAUUGCCUGCCCUUCUCUACUUAAUGUGGAAAUAUCAGGGAGGAAGACAGGAUCCUAAGUCAGUAGGCUAAGCUUGGAAAGCACAGGCAUAUAUGGCAUUGCAAGUAUUUUGGAUGAGUCCUUCUAGUAUAAUACCUGUCUGAAAUUGAAGGAGUGGAUGACAUGAACCUAUACAUUACUCUGCUGGCAGAGAGACAGACGUUCUGGGGGCUGAGCUGGGGGACGGGGGGCGGCUGCAAGCCAAAGCACCUACAUCAGAUGUCUGAAGUAGACAGUGCAAAUAACCCUCCAAACGACUGGACUUAUUGGACCACAUAAGAGAGAGAGGAAAAAAGUGAGGCUGGCACAUGUUUAUCUUGCCUAUUUAGACAAUCAGUUCUCCUGUUCCGUGCACAGCACCUGACAUACAAGGGCAAAGAUCUCAACACAGAGCCUAUUAAAUUGUUACUCAUGAUUCAACUGGUCACCAUGGAAAAUUAACUAUUAAGGUUGUAGGUAUUUUAUCAGCAAGAACACAAUGUAUUACCUGUUUCUAGCAAUUCUAUGCCAGUACCUUAUUAAGGUGUAAUACUGACGUGUAUAUGACAGUUCUGAAAGGAAACACGAAACAUAUUUGAGGAAUACAAUCAGUGUUAAAUGGAUUAACAAUAGAUUUGGCUUUAAUACAAUAAAUCCAGAGAGACUCUGAAAGCACAGGAACUAGCUACAUUUUCUAAGCAGAUGUAUUUCCUACUAUUUAAUGUAUAUAAAACACCUGAAUUGAAUUUGUUAUUGGUAUUCUGUACCAUGAAGAGAGUAAGGAAAAAAAUCCAUACUACCAUUCAUAAGCAUAAUGUUAAAUAAAAGAAAAUAGUGUCUCGUACUUGUCGGACAAGUAUUCACAAUAAAAUCAUUAUUAGAGGACAUUCAUUCAAGCAGGAACACUUGUUUGAUUUGUGAGAGGCCAAGGCUGACUAGGCCCAAUGACUAAUAUGCCCCGUCACCAGUACAAAAUAGUCUUCCAGGCAAUAUGUUUGGGAAACUGGACUUUUUCUGCUCAUGCUCUUUCUGAUCAGACUUGUCUUUUUCUGGCAGCUUUUGCCAGCAAUCAGAUUCACUGGAAACAUAAAAGAGAAAAUGAUUGCUGGAGCUAUGCUGAACAAGCGGAGCGUUAUCUUUCUUCUUGCUCUGUUUGCCCAUGUGCACAAUGAAAGGAAGCUGGCAGAGGUCCUGAUCCAGGAAAAGGAUUAUGGCCUUUAUCAUCAGACAAUAAGUUGAGCAAAUUGCAGACCACAAACUACUUCUCUUCGGCAUACUGCUGAAGGACUCAUGGCUGAACUCGGUGCCUUAGAGGUACUAGGAGGAAGUACAGGGAGGUCGUAAAGAUGAGUAGCCAGAAAAUGAGGGAUGCUUAUGAAAGGUCUGCUGUUGAGCAGUGGGCAGAGGACAAUAUAGAAAAAAUCUAAAAUUCUAAAGCUUUAAUGUCUUUAUUAUUUUAAUUAGCUUCAAAAUUUGUAAUAAUCCAUCAUACUGUUACUCCAAAGUCUUUGUUGUUCACCUAAUAAUCUUCCAAAGGGGAGUAUUUGACACACAUGUGACUAAAGAUUGAGAUAUGUGGAUUUUCAAAUACAUACAGUGCAGCCAGUAACUAAGAACAGGACUAUUUGUUUAAUAGUGGCUCCAUUCAUUAUAAAUAAAUGAAAGAGGAUUUUAAAAGCAGGGAGUUAGAAAUAAAGACUUCCACAGCCAGGGAAAUAAAAUCUUUCUGCUCUUAGUCAUCUUUGUUAUCAACCCUACCUUAAAACUGCUUCAAGGGGUACAGAAGAGAGGUUUUAGUGUUAUACCCUGUAAAAUUAAAGAUUGUAAAGCAGAACACUGACAUGGUGACUGAACCCCUUUGAGCUUUUGAGCUGGUCUUUGGAACUUUGGAAGGAGUCCAGAUUUUUGCUAACUCUUUGUUUCCAAUCCAAAAUAAUCUGGAAAUAAUAGCUGUAACAGGAAUGAUAAUAAUGUAUACCUGUAAUAAGGAUCCAAACUGGCUGAAAUAUGUCAGUUUAGUCUCUGGUACUAGUGGUAUGAACUUUGCUUUAACGUGAUUAUUUCAUAUGAUUUUUUUUUUUUCAAAUGCGAAAUGGUUUGAGGGCUGUUUAAAGUAUUUUUUUUCCAGUGUAAAUCAGCAGACACACACAACAAAAGGACUGAAAAAGACUGAGCAGAAAUCUAACCCUCCAAAAAUCUUUGUGGGUAAACUGUUUCCCUAAUAAUCCCUCAUUAUAUAAACACCUAAAUAAGAUAUCUAGAGAUAAUUGUCUGAAAUUCUGACAGACUCAGUACCUUUGAAGAUUCUGCAAAGCUGGUCUACUAACAAUGGUUAACUGAUUGAAUGAGGCAACAGGGAAUUAUGAAGACUGCUUAUUUUUCUGAAUCCAGAGGUUUUAUUCUUUUCCCUACCCCUAGCUUCAGAAUCACUUUUUCCAUACAAAUUGGCAUGGUGUGGUCAACUUUCCCUCUGAUAUUCCAAAUUCCUGAUACUCUCUGUGUGGGGAACUGCCGCUCAUGCCAAAGGGAUGCUUGGCUUGUUGUGCUCUCUUGAUAGAUACUUCAGCAAUGCUGUUAGAUUAAAUAGCAAGGGACAGCAGAAUUUUAGUCACGAUCCAUCAGGCGGAUCUGAGAGGAGCCGUUUGCCCUGAGAGAGGAUAGACUUUCGAGACAUAUGGUCCUAUAAUGGGGGGGGGGUGGGGAUUUUUCAAUUCCAAUCCACCCAUUCCGGAUGAGAGAGACUGAGCUAAUACCCUCGUGUAUGGUGCAGUGCAUGUAGCUACGGAAGUAGCGUUAGGAUGGAAUUUAUGGACUCUCUAAAUUGUUUGCCAGGAAAUGUUUACUAGCUAUGCACAAUAAACGACUGUGAAAGCGUAUUCCUGUGU